rnacentral:rRNA from 1 species
GCACCACAAGGGGUGGAACCUGCGGUUCAAUUGGAUUCAACGCCGGACAACUCACCAGGGGCGACAGUUGGUUGAAGGCCAGGUUGACGACUUUGCUGGACUAGCUGAGAGGUGGUGCAUGGCCAUCGUCAGCUCGUACCGUCCGGCGUCCUGUUAAGUCAGGCAACGAGCGAGAUCCUCGCCCCUAGUUGCCAUCGGUGGGAAGCCGGGCACUCUAGGGGGACCGCUGGCGCUAAGUCAGAGGAAGGAGAGGGCGACGGUAGGUCAGUAUGCCCCGAAUCCCCUGGGCUACACGCGGGUUACAAUGCGCAGGACAAUGAGAUGCAACCCCGUAAGGGGGAGCCAAGCCCCUAAACCUGCGCUCGGUUCGGAUCGAGGGCUGUAACUCGCCCUCGUGAAGCUGGAAUCCCUAGUAAUCGCGUGCCAACACCGCGCGGUGAAUGCGUCCCUGCUCCUUGCACACACCGCCCGUCAAGCCACUCGAGUGGGGUCCGGAUGAGGUCAGUUCAAGUUGGGCUGCUCGAAUCCGAGUUCUGCAAGAGGGGCU